GCCAUUCUCCCGCCUCAGCCUCCGGAGCAGCUGGGAUUACAGGCGCCCGCCAUCACGCCCAGGUUCUCCUUCUCUCCUCUAUCCUGCCACUUUGUGAAGAAGGUGCUUGCUUCUCCUUCACCUUCCACCAUGAUUAAAAAUAGAAUAUAAAAACUUCUCUACUCCUGACUCACCAACGCACCAGAACAACUUUUAGUCCUGCAAUCAUGAAGCAUUGAUUGAACAUCUUCUACAUAUUAUCACCACCCUAGACACUACAACAACAAAGAAGUCAAUACUAGUUUCAAUUUGUGGAAAGCUGGAAAUGCGAUGAUUCCCAUGCCCUGAGUUUCUGCUCCAGACACCAGGUGGGGGCAUGGCAAUUGUGACUGGAGAGAGUGGAGGGGUCAUCUUAUCCACCACAUCAGAAGCUGAGGUUAGGAUAUUGUGGCAAGAGAUGAAAAGUGAAGUGAUGUGAGGAAACUUCAUCCUGAAUUCAACUAAAGCCCUGGAAUACUUGUUCAAAUAACCAGCUGACAACUUGGGGUUAAGCUGUCUUGAAUUUAACCUGUUUAGCUCAGCCAAUACAAUUAUGAAAUAAAAAGUUAACAGUCUACUAUUUUGUAGUCCCUGGAUAAAGAGGCCUAAAUGGUAUCCUGUAAAGUUAUGCAGAGUACUAUCUGCAUAGAUCUAGUCAAUGACCUUGGCUAGUAGCAUCAUUUGGUUUCCAGCUUUAUGUGCAUCAAUUCUUCUUUAUAUGCAGUAGUUAAUUUAAUGCACCAUAUAUCUUAUCUCUAACUCCUUGGGAAACAUUUGAAUUUAGUUAUUUUCCAUUCUACUAUUGAGAAUCUGUCUUCACAAGUCACAUAGCACUGUUACAAACACAAAUCACUUGGCGUACACAAUCCAAAUUAAGUAUACAUUUUGCCUGUGUUGCUAUUUCAUGGUAAAUUUUAUUUUCCAUUUUCUUAUUUUCAUUUUCUGUCUUUUAUUACCUUCUGAUGACACUGAAAUGCCUAAAGAAGUAGAUAAAUAUCUUGUUCUAACUUUGCUGAUUAAAAAGAAAACAGUUAAGCCUUGUACAUUUCACAGUAAUGAAGAAAGACUCACAAACAUUUUAUCAGGUCUGAAAAUUUGUCACCAGAUGUAUGUGGAAACUGUCUUGGUGAACCUGCCUUCAUGCAAAUUUGAAACAUCUUAUUAAACUUAAAAAUAAA
rnacentral:lncRNA from 1 species